rnacentral:rRNA from 1 species
AUUGAACGCUGGCGGCAGGCCUAACACAUGCAAGUCGAACGAGUGGCGGACAGGUGAGUAAUGUCUGGGAAACUGCCUGAUGGAGAGGGAUAACUACUGGAAACGGUAGCUAAUACCGCAUACCAUCGGAUGUGUCCAUAUGGGCUUAGCUAGUAGGUGGGGUAACGUCUCACCUAGGCGACGAUCCCUACCUGGUCUGUGAGGAUGACCAUGCACAUCGGAAAUAGUACACGGUCCAGACGCCUACGGGAUGCAGCAGUGGGGAAUAUUGCACAAUGGGCGCAAGCCUGAUGCAGCCAUGCCGCGUGUAUGAAGAAGGCCUUCGGGUUGUAAAGUACUUUCAGCGGGGAGGCGUUACCCGCAGAAGAAGCACCGGGUAACUCCGUGCCAGCAGCCGCGGUAAUAC